UACGUAGGGGGCAAGCGUUGUUCGGAUUCAUUGGGCGUAAAGCGUGCGCAGGCGGUGAUGUAAGACAGGUGUGAAAUCCCCGGGCUUAACCUGGGAACUGCAUUUGUGACUGCAUCGCUGGAGUGCGGCAGAGGGGGAUGGAAUUCCGCGUGUAGCAGUGAAAUGCGUAGAUAUGCGGAGGAACACCGAUGGCGAAGGCGGCCAACUGGACCACAACUGACGCUGAGGCGCGAAAGCGUGGGGAGCAAACAGG
rnacentral:rRNA from 1 species